AUUGAACGCUGGCGGCAGGCCUAACACAUGCAAGUCGAACGAGUGGCGGACGGGUGAGUAAUGUCUGGGAAACUGCCUGAUGGAGGGGGAUAACUACUGGAAACGGUAGCUAAUACCGCAUACCCUCAUGUGUGCCCAGAUGGGAUUAGCUUUGUGGUGGGGGAACGGCUCACCUAGGAGACGAUCCCUAGCUGGUCUGAGAGGAUGACCAGCCACACUGGAACUGAGAAACGGUCAAUACUCCUACGGGAGGGAGCAGUGGGGAAUAUUGCACAAUGGGCGCAAGCCUGAUGCAGCCAUGCCGCGUGUAUGAAGAAGGCCUGCGGGUUGUAAAGUACUUUCAGCGGGGAGGCGUUACCCGCAGAAGAAGCACCGGCUAACUCCGUGCCAGCAGCCGCGGUAAUAC
rnacentral:rRNA from 1 species